GUGGUCUUUUUUGUGUUUUCUUGGAUGG
rnacentral:piRNA from 1 species